rnacentral:lncRNA from 1 species
AUUAUUACAAAAUCUAACACUCUUUUGAACCUGAUCCUUUUCUAAGAGUUUGAGUGUGAAGUGUGUACAACAAUGUUGUCCAUUUGAUCAUGGUCUAAAUCAGAGCAAAACCCUUUCAAAACUCGAGUUUAAGUUUAGCAAAAGCUUUAAAUAUGACUUCAUUUCAAGUCUUCUGCUAAGUGUUGGAAGCGGCGUCGAUGGGACAACACGAGCUCCCACACUGCCCAACACCCUCACGAGCACAUCUAUGCCCGUUGCAGUGCAUCCCAGCCGGCCAAUGGCCACCCCGCGCCCCUGCCGCCAUGCGGCCAGGGAACACCAGCACUCGUUUUGCCGCCAAUUGCCGUCCCGUGUCACCGUGGCAUCCUUAUCUUCACGCGGACCUUAUCCUCACCGCUUCCCACCUAUAAAGCUAGGCGCUGGCUUCCCCCACACCCCCACAGCUCCAUUACCAGUGACCCGAGCUCCAUCUUUUCGCAUCCUUCAACGGUGAAAUUCAUCGCCGUGAGCGAGCCUUGGGUUGAUUCCUCGCAACCAC